ACAUACCAAAGAAGGCGAGCUUCUUAAGGCUUUCAGCCUCAGCAAUCUUCUGUUUCUCUUCCAUAAUUA
ensembl:ncRNA T13B5.11 ncRNA